CUCAUCCGCGCCCCGGCCUCCGCCGCCCGCCCGCCCCCACCCGGAUCGCCUUCCCCCUCCCCCGCAGGUUCCGACGUCUGGACUCCCGCGGAGAAGCAGCUGUUUAGAAAGGCCUUCUACGCCCACAGGAAGGAUUUCUACCUGGUGCAGAAGGUGGUGAAGACGAAGAACGUCGCCCAGUGUGUCGAGUAUUAUUACAUCUGGAAGAGGAUGAUGAGGUUCGACUCCGGCAGAGCGUCGGGGAGGGAAACCGGGGUCAAGAAGGAACGGGACGAGGGAGAGAGGACGGCCAGAAAGAUCCAGGCCAGAAGCGGCUUCCGGCCGGCGCCCGAGCCCACCCGGGCCAGGGGCGGCAAGAGAGACAGAAGCUCCCGGCCCACCCCCUCCGCGGCCCAGCCGGGGGGCCGCCCACCGACCGCCCGGGGCCUUCCCGUGCCGCGAGUGCGACAGGUAAGAAUGACGACGGUCUUUAAGCGCCUUCUCCGUGCCGGGCACCCCGCCGGAUGCCGGAGGCCGCCCCGGUCCCCGCUAACGAUAGCAGUGGCAGUCGCAGCGGCGUCCGGGCGGCGCUCGGUACCACGGCGAUGGCGUCCGUUAAGCGCUCACCUCGUGCCGAGCGCCGCUCUUCGCGCCGGGGGCGGGGGGGGGGGGGGUGUCGGACGCGGUCCCAGCCCCGCGCGGGGUCUUCGUCCCGUCUUCCGGGCGAGGCGAAUGAGGCCCGGAGAAGCGAAGCGACUCGCCCGGGGUCACGCGGCGGACCGGGGCGG
rnacentral:lncRNA from 1 species